CAGUAGCCACGGUAAUACGUAGGGUGCAAGCGUUAAUCGGAAUUACUGGGCGUAAAGCGUGCGCAGGCGGUUUGUUAAGACAGAUGUGAAAUCCCCGGGCUCAACCUGGGAACUGCAUUUGUGACUGGCAAGCUAGAGUGUGGCAGAGGGGGGUGGAAUUCCGCGUGUAGCAGUGAAAUGCGUAGAUAUGCGGAGGAACACCGAUGGCGAAGGCAGCCCCCUGGGCCAACACUGACGCUCAUGCACGAAAGCGUGGGGAGCAAACAGGAUUAGAUACCCCUGUAGUCCCUGUCUCUUAUAC
rnacentral:rRNA from 1 species